UUGACCUCAAUCAGGUAGGGAUACCCGCUGAACUUAAGCAUAUCAAUAAGCGGAGGAAAAAAACCAACCGGGAUUACCUCAUAACGGCAUGAAGCGGUAACAGCUCAAAUUUGAAAUCUGGCUCCCUGCGGAGUCCGAGUUGUAAUUUGUAGAAGAUGCUUUGGGUGCGUGGCCCGGCCUAAGUUCCUUGGAACAGGACGUCGUAGAGGGUGAGAAUCCCGUAUGCGGCCGGGGCGCCUGCCCGUGUAAAGCUCUUUCGACGAGUCGAGUUGUUUGGGAAUGCAGCUCAAAAUGGGUGGUAAAUUUCAUCUAAAGCUAAAUAUGGGCCAGAGACCGAUAGCGCACAAGUAGAGUGAUCGAAAGAUGAAAAGCACUUUGGAAAGAGAGUUAAACAGUACGUGAAAUUGUUGAAAGGGAAGCGCUUGCAACCAGACUUGGGCGUCGCUGAUCAUCCAAAGUUUUCUUUGGUGCACUCGGCGAGGCACAGGCCAGCAUCGGUUGGGGUGGUGGGAGAAAGGUCGUGGAAACGUAGCUCCUUUCGGGGAGUGUUAUAGCCUGCGGCGCAAUACCACCUACUCCGACCGAGGACCGCGCUUCGGCUAGGAUGCUGGCGUAAUGGUUGUAAGCGACCCGUCUUGAAACACGGACCAAGGAGUCUAACAUCUAUGCGAGUGUUUGGGUGCAAAACCCAUACGCGUAAUGAAAGUGAACGUAGGUGAGAACCCUUCGAGGGGGGGGCAUCAUCGACCGAUCCUGAUGUCUUCGGAU
rnacentral:rRNA from 1 species